UACGGGGGGGGCAAGCGUUGUUCGGAAUUACUGGGCGUAAAGGGUUCGUAGGUGGCCAACUAAGUCAGACGUGAAAUCCCUCAGCUUAACUGGGGAACUGCGUCUGAUACUGGUUGGCUUGAGUGCAGGAGAGGAACGCGGAAUUCCAGGUGUAGCGGUGAAAUGCGUAGAUAUCUGGAGGAACACCGGUGGCGAAGGCGGCGUUCUGGACUGCAUCUGACACUGAAAGACGAAAGCCAGGGGAGCAAACGGG
rnacentral:rRNA from 1 species